UAUUAAUAUUAUUAGUAUUAGUAUGUAGGCGAUUUCCCAUUACCUUUUUUACAAAAUACCCUUGUAUCUAUUGCUUUGAUGUGAUCAUCAAAUUAUUACUCGAUUGAUUUAUUAAGCCUAUCGACAAAGCGACCAAGACAUUGUAAACAAAAAGGGAGGGGCACUUUUUAAUCAAACUGAAGUAAUGAGGUCAUUAUCUGAUUGAGAAAUCAUCUAAACCGCAGCCGGGGAAUUCCAAUAUUCAGGGUCUAUGUGGAUGGUGUAGAACGACGCUUAGACUCUGACGUCAUAAAUUUAUGAGCCAAGCUACAGUAUAAAAGCUUCGGCAGUGAACUGGCCUUAGUGAGAUAGGGAUGCCGACGAGCUGAACAAUAAAAGAAAGGGAGACCCAAAAUUUCAAAGGGUGCUGAAACUGGAGUGGUGGUCGCAGGUUCAUUGAUAGGAGGACUCGACGUUAUAUGAAAACUCCACACACAAACAAACAUUUCGUAAAUAAAAUUCGCCUCGGAGGAUUUCUGGCCGUUUUGAGAGGGGGACUUUCAGCUGAGCAUCUCCAGGAAAAAUCUGCCAAAUUUGUCUGCCACUUGAAACCUCCCAACGUCGGUGACUAUACUGUCAGAAUGAGCGACACUAUGUGCUCAAUGGGCUGCGACAUUGGCCCAUGUGCAUCAGGAUGUGACCCGAGCCGAGGCGGUGGCGGUUGCGGUUGCUGCUGCUGUAUCCUGUGUGUGAUCGUGGUUCUCGGUGUUAUAGCCGGAUUGAUUGUACUAAUACUUUCGCUUACACAAACCAUUUAACUCAAACUUCACCAUGAAAAAUCAAGUUCCAGUGAUUCAAAGACUGCAGUCAUAAAUUAGAACUUUAUUUCUCACGAAACUGCUUAGCAUAUUACAUCUAUGAGUAACGACACGGGGUAUAACAUCCAGCAUAACGUACAGACAGACAUGAAUUGUACACACGGCCUAUCUGACCACGGCCCAAUUUUAUAGAGCCUAUAAGCAAAACAACUUGCUAGGCAAAGUCAAAAUACUGCUUAACAGAAACUGGUUAUCUAUCAGCCGAAAGUCCAUAAGGUUUACACAAUUGUGACUGGUGCCCCACUCAUUUUUGUUAAGCAUAGACAUUAAGCGUUAUUUUCUGCUUAACAGCUAAAGGAAAUUGGGCCCAUGUCAAGUGCAAACAAAGCUUUUAUCGUCUCAAAUCAAACUGUAAUCAUAAAACUACUUUUCACGAACACUUUUGAUCACAACAUCCAUAAUACUUUGAACUCCGUGACCAAGUAAAAGGUAUAUUAUUGGAAUUGAAAACAAAUAAUAAUAAUCACUACCCUAUGCUUUAAUGUGCCUUUGAUGUGAUCAAUUUGCAUCCGUGGAAUGUUUGUUAAUAUUGUUGUUAUAGUGGUUGUUUUGUUAUAUUUUCUUUUACUGAGUUAGACAAUGGCAUUGCCCAUCCACGGGACAGGGUUUAUAAACAAAUUUGUUAAAAUAUCUUUUAAGUAAUUGCUCUCCAAAUCGUUGUUAUUUGUAUUUAUAUUAGCUUAGCUAGAUCAAAGUAAAAAUCAAAAAUGAAACAGAGCGUGUGAAAACAACUGUAUGGAUUUCUGCAAACUGGUCAAGAGUUGUUUGUUGUUCUGUGUUAUGUAAUUUAGAAGUUUAAUUGAUUGUACUAUCGUGUUGCUUUUUUUUUGCCGAAAAAGACUCUAUGCGUCCAUUUAAUCCAAAAAGUACAAAUAUUCAAAACCAAGUAUAGAAUAACCACUUACAAAUAGAUCAAGACAUAAUUUGCAACAAUGUUGAACAGCUUCAACAAAAUGGUUAACCAAAGCUAUUAAACAAAUGUAUAGUACCAUAAUGACGUCCCAAAGUGGACCAGAGCAAACAAUGUGGCUUCUUUUACAGACAGUUUGAAAUAUUAUUGGGCACUGCUGUGGUAGACAAGGGACCUUUUUUAAAAGUAUGUUUCAUACAACUGAAAUUAAUAUUCACAUUAUUUAAACCUUUUAAAUUAUUUUUUGAAAACUUGUUGUAGGGAUGUACUUUGAUGUACCUAGCAACUAUUUAUUGGCGGCCCCAACCAAGCCCUACUGAGUCAAAAGUCGGUUACUGGUUGGUGUAAACAGCAUCGUCACCGCGGUUCAACCAAACACCGAUGACCAAAGAUCAAACAUGAUUCUGGUAAGGGUCGCCAAAACGCACAUUGAUGUUGCCUGAACAAAGACAGUCAAAUAGGGUCUCACACUUAAGCCCCUCCCCGUUUGGGCCCAACUUAAUAAAGCUAUUAACCAGAAAUUUCCUUCGCAGCGAAUUGUUUUCCUCAGCUAAGCAACAACUUUGUGGGACACCAGUCACCACAAUGUAAACUGAAUGUUAAUUUGGAUUGUUAGUAUUUUUUGUAAGCCAUUCUUUUUCUUUGCUUGGCAAUUUUUUGUUCUUACAGGCAUAUGAAAUGGGGCCUUUUAUUGACUUUAGCUAUGGAGUUCAAGGUCCAUGGAAGCUGUGGGGCAUGCGUGACAUGCAGCGUUCUUGUAUCACUUUGUAUUUUACUUAUUUUAUGUUAAUACAUGUUGUUAAAAUGUU